AGACUCAGUCUCAAAAACAAAUAAACAAACACCAAAAAACCCGUAUAACUUUAAUGGUGGAGACAAAAACAGAUUAUGCUGUAAUCUUUACAUAAUAGUGAUUCAAUUUUUUUGACCUUGCUAAUAACUGCUUUAAGGAAAAACUACACUUAAUUAAAUUAACAAUUCUGAAAUGGAAACUCAAUUUGCAAACUAAGUAUUUCUCCUAACCUGAACAUGUAUAAACCAAUAUGCAUAUAUACAAAAUCACACAUGAACCCAAACACACAGUAAUGUAUAGAAAAAUACAGAAUGUCAGAGCUGAAAGAGAUCUUUUGUCUAUAAUCUUCACUUUAGUGAUGAGGAGUAGAAGGAUAAGGUGAUUUGCCAAGCUCCAGUAGCAAGCUUAUGAUAGACACUAAACCCCAAGUUUCUGCAUAUUUGCAGUGAUGUCAUAGGCACUCUGUGUGAUGCUGGUGAAUAUUUCAGGUGUGAAAUAGUAAGCAUAAAAUUAGCAUUACCUGGGAAUCUGUUUAAAAUCAUUGACAGGCCUGAGAGUUUUCCAUACGGCCUGCACCCUAACCUCUGGGAAGAAAAUAUCCACAAUGAAAUUUCUACAAGAUUAGAGGAAGGAGAGAGGCAACGGGGAUUCCAUUUCUACUAGGAGUAUCAACCUCUGAGAGAAAAAUAUCCAUCUCUGUGGAUGUCAUCUGCUCUGCAGAAAACCCUUUCCUGGAACUCCCAGCCCUGCCCUUCUUAACACGACAUAUAGACAACCCCAGGUCGUGGGUCCCUAGAGGACACCACCGAUACUGUGAUGUGAUGAUGAGGCGCAGUUGGCUGAUCUAUAGGGGUAAAUGCGAGCAGAUCCACACAUUCAUUCAUAGAAUCUGACCACCAUAGCAGAUUUCUGCAGAACUCCACCACUGCCCUGUACCAACAGCCCCUCCAUGUGCAGCUGCCGCAACAGUACUCAUGAUGUCAAUGUCACUGACUGCUUUGCCAGCGCAGGGACCCGACCUCUUCACUGCCACUACCAAAAAUAAGAAGGAGUCCACCAGGCCCAUGCGAGUGGGCUGCAAGAAGGGGGCAUCUGUUCACCUGGAUGGCUAGGUUCCUCCUGACACCGGCACCUGAAUGACUUGCACCCUGCGCCUUCAAAUCUUUGCAGCACUGUCAAAGUCUUCUUUGUAAAUGCUUCUUCCCUUGCACGUGGACCCCUCAUUUUUCCCAGACACAUAUAGGCUCCCGCGUCUUUCUUACAGCCUGUUCCCCACCAACCCCACGUCCCCUAUCCCUGCCACAGUGUCAGGGCUUUUGGUGGAGGAUAAGGUGGCAGUGGAGGGUUGGGAGGGAGCCUGAAUUACGGAAAUAAUUCUCUGGAAAAGGCUUGCUCCAACCAAGCUGCUAGACAAACCCCUUCUCCUGGGACUGAUCUUCCCACCAGCUGCUCUCAUAAAACCUCCUGAUGGCUGGCGCUACAUGUCCUGGAUCAUAGGGUCCUUCUGCAUUCUGCCAGACGUUCUGUUCCUUUCUCCUCAAUGGACUCCUUCGGAGGGUAUUAGGGACGAUACCCUGGUGGGAAACCGCUUCCUUUAGGGAACCAAAUCCCUGUGGCUCCCGGGGUGUCACCAGAAGAAGCCGCUGCUAGAGAAGUGGGAGGAGAAGGGGCAACUCCGCCCCGCCCAGAGCCUCAGUGGUCUGCCAGUUCCCGUGGCCGUUGUAUUGGCCGGCAGGGGGCGCCGCGCUGCAUGCUUCCUGCAGGCCAAGAGUCCAAAACUUCUUGGUUCCCUUUAAGACAGCGUGAGAUGGGCUGCGAGUUUCUUGGUUGCUGACAGGGGUAGAGAAUAAUAGGUGAAUAAACAGAAAAUCCAGCC
rnacentral:lncRNA from 1 species